AAACCUCUGAAAACGAGCAUUGAAUCAAGCAUUUGUGGAAACAACCUUCCCCAUUUCACCUGCGCUAUACAAUGAAUUCACCGAUAGAAAUACAGGAGAUGAAAUUGAUUUGUCUACUUUAAUAAAAAUACUCAGUUGCUAUAAGACCGAAAUAAAGUACGGAAACAAGCUGCCUCAAUAACCCAAUCGAAAAAUAGUGUCAGUAUGUACACGAAUUUAUGCCUGUGCUAUUCAAGCCCCACCUAAUAAAACGAAAAGUGGCUGGUUCUCUUCGGUUGAAAAACUACAAGAAUCAAUGCCACAAAUACAAAAAAAAAAGUAUAUUCAAAUUUUGUGCGACUUGCAAAAAAAAGUGAGCCAAAGACUGAGUGAAGUCAAUUAUUUGGAGGGUGCCUUGAAAUUGGCGGAAUCAGAACACCAAAAUGUUAGAAAGUCAAUUCAAAGAACUCAAGAAAAUAUAGAUAAGUUAAAGACUAUCAUUACUUGUGAAAAAAAUCUUCGUACUAGGUUUAAACACCGCUCAUUUUGGAGCAUGAGUUUUUUCUUGAUCUUUAUCUUUAUGAUGU